GUCCUCGUAGCUCAGCUGGAUAGAGCAACGGUUUUCUAAACCGUCGGUCGCUGGUUCAAGUCCAGCCGAGGACACCA
rnacentral:tRNA from 1 species